rnacentral:lncRNA from 1 species
CGUGCUCACCUUGGCUGUGAUGACUGCAGGUGACAGGAGCCUGUGGGUGGAACCCAGGGCAUCGAGCAGGGGUCACAGGUGAGGGAGGCCUAUGGGCAGCUCAAUUAUCAGGGCAGGGCCAGGGAACAGGGAGGGCAGGUAGUAGGGCUGCAAGUCUCCAGGUACUGAGAGUGUGGGCACAACAACCCAGAAGCCAGGUCAACCUUGGGAGCUGGGCAAUGGUUG